GGGAGCUGGCUGAGGCAAAUAUCCAUCAUGUUAACCUGAUAGAUGUCCUUUUUGAGCUGGUGCUGUUUGGGAUGAUGACAGCUCAGAAAUCCCUGAUGGUGCAACCUGGUGGGUUCAUGGAGCGUCUGUACACUCUCCUGUACUCCUUCCUGCCCACUGUUGCCAGCAUUGAGCCAAAGGCUGAGAGAUACCUGUUGCUGCUCAAUGUAAGAGUCAAGAGUUUACUUCCUGUUUUCUUCCUUAUUACUAGUUUACUUCCUCUUUACUCGUUCCUGGUUAACAGGGUUUCAAUGCCGUUUUAGGGGGAGUAACUCUCAUUGUCUCUCUCCUCUUGAUAAGCUAGUAGCUCAGAGCCAUUUUCUAUGUGUUGUGUGGUGUUCCCUUCAGGGCGGGCUGAUGGCUCUUCUAGAUGACAUGUUUGGGCAGCAUCUGGCCUGGUAUUUUAACCGAGAGUCUCUGGUCACUGAGCUCUCCAGCCUCCUCGAGUACCACCUCGAGUACCUCAUGGCCAGCAUGUAGUCCUACUGCAGAGACCUGAAGGGCCACACUUCUCCUCCUCUCUCUCUCUCUCUCUCUCUCUCUCUCUCUCUCUCUCUCUCUCUCUCUCUCUCUCUCUCUCUCUCUCUCAUUGAGGACUUGAAGUGCUUCGUUGAACCCUGAUUAGUUCACACCUAUUAAAUUCAUGUAUUCUCUUGUUUUCUCUCCCCACAGGAUU